UACGAAGGGGGCUAGCGUUGCUCGGAAUCACUGGGCGUAAAGCGCACGUAGGCGGCUUCUUAAGUCAGGGGUGAAAUCCUGGAGCUCAACUCCAGAACUGCCUUUGAUACUGGGAGGCUCGAGUCCGGAAGAGGUGAGUGGAACUGCGAGUGUAGAGGUGAAAUUCGUAGAUAUUCGCAAGAACACCAGUGGCGAAGGCGGCUCACUGGUCCGGUACUGACGCUGAGGUGCGAAAGCCAGGGGAGCAAACGGG
rnacentral:rRNA from 1 species